AGAGUUUGAUCAUGGCUCAGAUGAACGCUGCGGCGUGCCUAACACAUGCAAGUCGAGCGGUAACAGGUGUAGCAAUACAUGCUGACGAGCGGCGAACGGGUGAGUAAUGCUUUGGAAUCUUCCCAGUAGUGGGGAAUAACCAGUCGAAAGAUUGGCUAAUACCGCAUACGUCUGUAAAGGGAAAGCGGGGGCUCGUAAGACCUCGCGCUAUUGGAUGAGCCAAAGUCGGAUUAGCUAGUUGGUGGGGUAAUGGCCUACCAAGGCGACAAUCCGUAGCUGGUCUGAGAGGACGACCAGCCACACCGGAACUGAGACACGGUCCGGACUCCUACGGGAGGCAGCAGUGGGGAAUAUUGGACAAUGGGGGAAACCCUGAUCCAGCGACGCCGCGUGUGUGAAGAAGGCCUGCGGGUUGUAAAGCACUUUUAGUGGGGACAAAAAGCUACGGAUUAAUACUUCGUGGUCUUGAUUUAACCCAAAGAAAAAGCACCGGCUAACUCUGUGCCAGCAGCCGCGGUAAUACAGAGGGUGCGAGCGUUAAUCGGAAUUACUGGGCGUAAAGCGCGCGUAGACGGUUUUGUAAGUCAGAUGUGAAAUCCCUGGGCUCAACCUGGGAACUGCAUUUGAAACUGCAUGGCUAGAGUAUCGAAGAGGGAAGUGGAAUUUCCGGUGUAGCGGUGAAAUGCGUAAAUAUCGGAAGGAACACCAGUGGCGAAAGCGACUUCCUGGUCGAAUACUGACGUUCAUGUGCGAAAGCGUGGGGAGCAAACAGGAUUAGAUACCCUGGUAGUCCACGCCAUAAACGAUGACAACUAGAUGUUGGGAGG
rnacentral:rRNA from 1 species